CAUGUCUUUUUGAUUAUAAUUUAAAGUCUAACCUGCCCAAUGAUUAUUUGAAUGGCUGCGGUAUUUUGACCGUACUAAGGUAGCAUAAUAAUUAGUUUUUUAAUUGAAAGCUGGUAUGAAUGGUUGGACGAGAAAAUGACUGUCUCAAUUUAAUUUAAUUAGAAUUUUAUUUUUAAGUAAAAAAGCUUAAAUAAUUUUAAAAGACGAGAAGACCCUAUAGAGUUUUAUAUUUUAUGAUUAUUGAUAAUUUUAAGUAUUUAAUAUUUAUUUAAUUAUAAAAUAUUUUGUUGGGGUGACAAAAAAAUUAGAAGAACUUUUUUUAUAUAAGUACAUUGAUUUAUGAAUAAAUGAUCCAUAUAUUAUGAUUAAAAGAUUAAAUUACCUUAGGGAUAACAGCGUAAUUUUUCUUGAGAGUUCUUAUCGAAAAAAAAGUUUGCGACC
rnacentral:rRNA from 1 species